CCAUACGCGAUAGGGAUGGUAGCGGUUAUCCUUUUUGUCUUUUCCGAAUCGUUGUUUUUAUAGACUCACUUGGCAAGACAAAAAGAUAUGAGCGGACAGCCCGACCCGAG
rnacentral:sRNA from 1 species